rnacentral:rRNA from 1 species
UGAGGAAUAUUGGUCAAUGGGCGCAAGCCUGUACCAGCCAUGCCGCGUGCAGGAAGACGGUCCUAUGGAUUGUAAACUGCUUUUAUUUGGGAAUAAACCUCUUUACGUGUAGAGAGCUGAAGGUACCAAACGAAUAAGCACCGGCUAACUCCGUGCCAGCAGCCGCGGUAAUACGGAGGGUGCAAGCGUUAUCCGGAAUCAUUGGGUUUAAAGGGUCCGUAGGCGGUUUAAUAAGUCAGUGGUGAAAGCCCAUCGCUCAACGAUGGAACGGCCAUUGAUACUGUUAGACUUGAAUUACAAGGAAGUAACUAGAAUAUGUAGCGUAGCGGUGAAAUGCUUAGAUAUUACAUGGAAUACCAAUUGCGAAGGCAGGUUACUACUUGUGGAUUGACGCUGAUGGACGAAAGAGGGGGGAGCGAACA